CCUACGGGAGGCAGCAGUGAGGAAUAUUGGUCAAUGGACGAGAGUCUGAACCAGCCUAGUAGCGUGAAGGAUGACUGCCCUCUGGGUUGUAAACUUCUUUUAUAAAGGAAUAAAACGAGGCACGUGUGCCUUUUUGCAUGUACUUUAUGAAUAAAGAUCGGCUAACUCCGUGCCAGCAGCCGCGGUAAUACGGAGGAUCCGAGCGUUAUCCGGAUUUAUUGGGUUUAAAGGGAGCGUAGAUGGGUUGUUAAGUCAGUUGUGAAAGUUUGCGGCUCAACCGUAAAAUUGCAAUUGAUACUGGAAGUCUUGAGUACAGUUGAGGUAGGCGGAAUUCGUGGUGUAGCGGUGAAAUGCUUAGAUAUCACGAAGAACCCCGAUUGCGAAGGCAGCUUACUAAACUGUGACUGACAUUGAUGCUCGAAAGUGUGGGUAUCAAACAGGAUUAGAUACCCGUGUAGUC
rnacentral:rRNA from 1 species